CAAUAGCGUAUAUUAAAGUUGUUGCGGUUAAAAAGCUCGUAGUUGGAUUUCUGCUGAGAACGACCGGUCCGCCCUCUGGGUGUGUAUCUGGCUCUUUCUUGGCAUCUUCUUGGUGAACGUUGCUGCACUUGACUGUGUGGAGCGCUACCCAGGACUUUUACUUUGAGGAAAUUAGAGUGUUUCAAGCAGGCAUACGCCUUGAAUACAUUAGCAUGGAAUAAUAAGAUAGGACCUCGGUUCUAUUUUGUUGGUUUUUAGAGCUGAGGUAAUGAUUAAUAGGGAUAGUUGGGGGCAUUCGUAUUUAACUGUCAGAGGUGAAAUUCUUGGAUUUAUGAAAGACGAACUUCUGCGAAAGCAUUUGCCAAGGAUGUUUUCAUUAA
rnacentral:rRNA from 1 species